UCGGGUCCACAGAAUAAGAGAACUGCAUUACACGUGGAAGCAUCACUCACUCACUCACACACACACACACACACACACACGUUUGUAAACAUUUGAAAAUUUGGUUAGGUGGCAGCACAGAUGUUACACCUACCUUUCGUUGAGUCCGAAAAGGAGAGAGGUGAAGGCUGAAUUUAAUGUGCAAUUCCUGCCCUAGUUUACUCAGAAGUAAUUCCCCUGAGAUCACUGGGAUUUACUUUUCCAGGAAAUAUGGGAAGAAAAAAAGAUGGAUUAUCUUAAGGCAAAAAGAGGCUUUGGUGAUGCCUUGGAAUUAAACAAACUUCCAAAUCCAA